GACGAACGCUGGCGGCGUGCUUAACACAUGCAAGUCGAACGGUGAAGCGCCUUCCUUUUUGGUGGGUGUGGAUGAGUGGCGAACGGGUGAGUAACACGUGAGUAACCUGCCCCCUUCUUCUGGAUAACCGCAUGAAAGUGUGGCUAAUACGGGAUAUUCUGGGUCUGUCGCAUGAUGGGUCUGGGAAAGAUAUUGUUUCGGUGGGGGAUGGGCUCGCGGCCUAUCAGCUUGUUGGUGGGGUGAUGGCCUACCAAGGCGGUGACGGGUAGCCGGCCUGAGAGGGUGGACGAUCACGCUGGUGCGGAGACACGGCCCAGACUCCUACGGGAGGCAGCAGUGAGGAAUAUUGCACAAUGGGCGCAAGCCUGAUGCAGCGACGCCGCGUGAGGGAUGGAGGCCUUCGGGUUGUGAACCUCUUUCGCCAGUGAAGCAGGCCUGCCUCGUUUGUGGGUGGGUUGACGGUAGCUGGAUAAGAAGCGCCGGCUAACUACGUG
rnacentral:rRNA from 1 species